UUAAAACAGGGAGAUGGCAUUCCUCCCUUGAAAAACCGCCGUAUUGGCUAAUGAUGCCUACGUUACC
ncrna:Acinetobacter baumannii ATCC 17978 Fluoride riboswitch